rnacentral:lncRNA from 1 species
CUCGCCAAAAAAGUUUGACACGGGAUGAGAUGGGGAAGUAUGAGUAAGUUGGUCGGCAUUUGAAGUAGGCGUUGCAACAUGAUCACCCACUGCUUCAGCUGGUUUUGUCGAGGAAACGGAGACAAGACCAGAAUCCCAUUCUUCAGUAGUAGAUGGUUUUGCAGUAAGUUGGUCCGCAUUUGAAGUAGGUGAGGCAACAUGAUUACCUAAUGGUUUUGCAGUAAGUUGGUCCGCAUUUGAAGUAGGUGAGGCAACAUGAUUACCUACUGCUUCAGCCGGUUUCAGAGACGAGGAAGAAACUAUACCAGAAUCCCAUUCUUCAGUAGAUGGUUUUGCAGUAAGUUGGUUUGCAUUUGACAUAGAUGUGGCAACGUUAUUACCCACUGCUUCAGCUGGUUUCUGUGAGGAAGC